rnacentral:rRNA from 1 species
CAGUAGCCGCGGUAAGAUAGAGGAUGCAAGCAUUAUCCGGAAUGAUUGGGCGUAAAGCGUCUGUAGGUGGCUUUACAAGUAUGCCGUCAAAUCCCAGGGCUCAACCCUAGACAGGCAGUGGAAACUACCAAGCUGGAGUACGGUAGGGGCAGAGGGAAUUUCUGGUGGAGCGGUGAAAUGCGUUGAGAUCGGAAAGAACACCAACGGUGAAAGCACUCUGCUGGGCCGACACUGACACUCAUAGACGAAAGCUAGGGGAGCAAAUGGGAUUAGAUACCCCCGUAGUCCCUGUCUCUUAUAC